AAUAAGUGUAGUUUUGCACUAUUCACGUUUAACGUUUGGCCGUUCGUCUUAUUUAAAAUUUUUUUAUGAUUAGUAUUUUUAUUGCUAUUAGAUGAUAAAACAUGAAUAGUAGUUUAUGUGUGACUAAAUAUUUUUUAAUUUUUCAUAAAUUUUUUUAAAAAGAUGGACGGUCAAAUGUUGGGCACUGAUAUUCACAACUGCAUUUAUU
rfam:Oryza glumipatula chromosome 1, whole genome shotgun sequence.